CCCCGCUCAGGGUCACACCUGGAGAGUUUCCAGGACUCUACCAGUCUCGACUACGGGAGGGAGAGUCAAGCAGAGGCCUGUCCAUUCCAUUCCUAGCUCGGGCAGUGGCUAGCGAGUGGAAGGCCAUCUGCUACAAGU
rnacentral:snoRNA from 1 species